AGAACUACCCCCCACUCUGGCUUCCACGUCUAGCUACGCAGAACUACCCCCAACUCUGGCUUCCACAUCUAGCUACUCAGUACUACCCCCCACUCUGGCUUCCACGUCUGGCUACUCAGAACUACCCCCCACUCUGGCUUCCACGUCUAGCUACGCAGAACUACCCCCAACUCUGGCUUCCACAUCUAGCUACUCAGUACUACCCCCCACUCUGGCUUCCACGUCUGGCUACUCAGAACUACCCCCCACUCUGGCUUCCACGUCUAGCAUUUACCGUAGUUACUAGACACUACACACAACAUGAAUGCAACUCCUAAGAGGGUAUGAUUGAACUAAAAUCCUAAAAUGUAGGGGUGUGCGUGUGUGUGCGUGCGUGCGUGUGUGUGUGUGCGUGUGUGUGUGUGUCUGUGCGUGUGUGCAGUGGGGAGAUUAUCCAGGAGCAUGAUGACAGAUAAGUGGAUCUCUGCUAGUGUCUCUGUUCACGAGGGAUGGAGUUAUGAUUUAUCACCCUAAUCUCCUUAUGGCACAUAUCUACUGAAGGCCACACACACACACACACACACACACACACACACACACAUACACACACACACACAGGAGCUUGUCAGUCUCGAGCUGGAGCUUGUCAGUCUCGAGCUGGAGCUUGUCAGUACUGACCCUGCACCAGUAACAGCAAAACCAACCUAACAUGAAUCAAUGGAGGCACUGACAAAAACUGAUCCCAAAUCAGCCAAAUGCAUUAGGGCUACCAUCUGGUCCUAUAAAAGGGGGUGAUAGGGUCCUGGGAGAGGGAAUAGGACAGUUCUGAGCACUUGACCUAGGAUGCAUCCCAAAUGGCACCCUAUUCCCUAUAUAGUGCUCUACUUUAGACCCUAUUCCCUAUAUAGUGCUCUACUUUAGACCCUAUUCCCUAUAUAGUGCUCUACUUUAGACCCUAUUCCCUAUAUAGUGCUCUACUUUAUUAAAAUCAAAUCCAAAUCAAUGCAUUUAUAAAGCCCUUCUUACAUCAGCUGAUAUCUCAAAGUGCUGUACAGAAACCCAGCCUAAAACCCCAAACAGUAAACAAUGCAGAUGUAGAAGCACGGUGGCUAGGAAUACCUCCCUAGAAAGGCCAAAACCUAGGAAGAAACCUAGAGAGGAACCAGGUCAGCACCUCAGGAGUAAAUGUCAGUUGGCUUUUCAUAACCGAUCAUUCAGAGUGUCUCUACCGCUCCUGCUGUCUCUAGAGAGUUGAAAACAGCAGGUCUGAGACAGGUAGAACGUCCGGUGAACAGGUCAGGGUUCCAUAGCCGCAGGCAGGACAGUUGAAACUGGAGCAGCAGCACGGCCAGGUGGACUGGGGACAGCAAGGAGUCAUCAUGUCAGGCAUGGUCCUAGGGCUCAGGUCCUCCGAGAGAAAGAAAGAAAGAAAGAAAGAAAGAAAGAAAGAAAGAAAGAAAGAAAGAAAGAAAGAAAGAAAGAAAGAAAGAAAGAGAGAGAGCAUACUUAAAUUCACACAGGACACCGAAUAAGACAGGAGAAAUACUCCAGAUAUAACAGACUGACCCUAGCCCCCGACACAUAAACUAUUGCAGCGUAAAUACUGGAGGCUGAGACAGGAGGGGUCAGGAGACACUGUGGCCCCAUCCAAGGCCAAACAGGGCCAAACCGGCAGGAUAUAACCCCACCCUACUUUGCCAAAGCACAGCCCCCACACCACUAGAGGGAUAUCUUCAACCACCAACUUACCAUCCUGAGACAAGGCCGAGUAUAGCCCACAAAGAUCUCCGCAACGGCACAACCCAAGGGGGGGGCGCCUACCCGGACAGGAAGAUCACGUCAGUGACUCAACCCACUCAAGUGAUGCACCCCUCCUUGGGACAUCAUGGAAGAGCACCAGUAACCAAGUGACUCAGCCCCUAUAAUAGGGUUAGAGGCAGAGAAUCCCAGUGGAGAGAGGGGAACUGGCCAGGCAGAGACAGCAAGGGCGGUUCGUUGCUCCAGAGCGUUUCCGUUCACCUUCCCACUACUGGGCCAGACUACACUCAAUCAUAUGACCCACUGAAGAGAUGAGUCUUCAGUAAAGACUUAAAAGUUGAGACCGAGUUUGCGUCUCUCACAUGGGUAGGCAGACCGUUCCAUAAAAAUGGAGCUCUAUAGGAGAAAGCCCUGCCUCCAGCUGUUUGCUUAGAAAUUAUAGGGACAGUAAGGAGGCCUGCGUCUUGUGACCGUAGCGUACGUGUAGGUAUGUACGGCAGGACCAAAUCAGAGAGAUAGGUAGGAGCAAGCCCAUGUAAUGCUUUGUAGGUUAGCAGUAAAACCUUGAAAUCAGCCCUUGCCUUGACAGGAAGCCAGUGUAGAGAGGCUAGCACUGGAGUAAUAUGAUCAAAUGUUUUGGUUCUAGUCAGGAUUCUAGCAGCCGUAUUUAGCACUAACUGAAGUUUAUUUAGUGCUUUAUCCGGGUAGCCGGAAAGUAGAGCAUUGCAGUAGUCUAACCUAGAAGUGACAAAAGCAUGGAUUAAUUUUUCUGCAUCAUUUUUGGACA
rnacentral:lncRNA from 13 species